GAUGAAGAACGUAGCGAAAUGCGAUAAGUAAUGUGAAUUGCAGAAUUCAGUGAAUCAUCGAAUCUUUGAACGCACAUUGCGCUCCCUGGUAUUCCGGGGAGCAUGCCUGUUCGAGCGUCAUUACAACCCUCAAGCUCUGCUUGGUAUUGGGCCUUGCCAUCACCGGCAGGCCUUAAAAUCAGUGGCGGUGCCGUCUGGCUCCAAGCGUAGUAAUUUUUCUCGCUUUGAAGUCUCUCGGUUGCUUGCCAACAACCCCCAAUUUUUUAAGGUUGACCUCGGAUCAGGUAGGGAUACCCGCUGAACUUAAGCAUAUCAAUAAGCGGAGGA
rnacentral:misc_RNA from 1 species